GACGAACGCUGGCGGCGUGCUUAACACAUGCAAGUCGAACGGUGAAGGGACCAGCUUGCUGGUUCUGGAUGAGUGGCGAACGGGUGAGUAACACGUGAGUAACCUGCCCCCUUCUUCUGGAUAACCGCAUGAAAGUGUGGCUAAUACGGGAUAUUCUGGGUCUGUCGCAUGGCGGGCCCGGGAAAGAUAUUGCUUCGGUGGGGGAUGGGCUCGCGGCCUAUCAGCUUGUUGGGGGGGUGAUGGCCUACCAAGGCGGUGACGGGUAGCCGGCCUGAGAGGGUGGACGGUCACGCGGGGACUGAGACACGGCCCAGACUCCUACGGGAGGCAGCAGUGGGGAAUAUUGCACAAUGGGCGCAAGCCUGAUGCAGCGACGCCGCGUGAGGGAUGGAGGCCUUCGGGUUGUAAACCUCUUUCGCCAGUGAAGCAGGCCUGCUCCUUGUGGGUGGGUUGACGGUAGCUGGAGAAGAAGCGCCGGCUAACUACGUG
rnacentral:rRNA from 1 species